AUCACUGCUACAUUAAGGAGCCUGUGGUGGUUAUUGGGAGCAUGAUUAAACAGUGGAUAACUUGAUGGACCUGAAGUCAUGAAGAAGUCUGGGCCAGGAAAUCGGCAAUACACAGGUGAGACUCAAACUAUGCCUGUGAUGACACCACUGAAGCAUCUACAGCACAGAUGUCCACUCUUCUGUCAGAGUCCACAUGUCAGCCAGUACUAAG
rnacentral:lncRNA from 13 species